rnacentral:rRNA from 1 species
ACGGGAGGCAGCAGUGUGGAAUAUUGGUCAAUGGGCGGAAGCCUGAACCAGCCAAGUCGCGUGAAGGAUGAAGGUAUUAUGUAUUGUAAACUUCUUUAGCAGUGGAGUAAUAAGGGGAUCGUGAUCCCUGAUGCAAGUACACUGAAAAUAAGGAUCGGCUAACUCCGUGCCAGCAGCCGCGGUAAUACGGAGGAUCCGAGCGUUAUCCGGAUUUAUUGGGUUUAAAGGGUGCGCAGGCGGCUUUUUAAGUCAGCGGUAAAAGCGUGGGGCUCAACCCCAUCCUGCCGUUGAUACUGGAGAGCUUGAUUGCGGUUGAGGUUGGCGGAAUUCGUCGUGUAGCGGUGAAAUGCAUAGAUAUGGCGAAGAACUCCGAUUGCGUAGGCAGCUGACCAAGCCGUAAAUGACGCUCAUGCACGAAAGUGCGGGGAUCGAACAGGAUUAGAUACCCUGGCA